AGUGAACGCUGGCGGUAGGCCUAACACAUGCAAGUCGAACGGCAGCACAGUAAGAGCUUGCUCUUACGGGUGGCGAGUGGCGGACGGGUGAGGAAUACAUCGGAAUCUACUUUUUCGUGGGGGAUAACGUAGGGAAACUUACGCUAAUACCGCAUACGACCUACGGGUGAAAGCAGGGGAUCUUCGGACCUUGCGCGAUUGAAUGAGCCGAUGUCGGAUUAGCUAGUUGGCGGGGUAAAGGCCCACCAAGGCGACGAUCCGUAGCUGGUCUGAGAGGAUGAUCAGCCACACUGGAACUGAGACACGGUCCAGACCCCUACGGGAGGCAGCAGUGGGGAAUAUUGGACAAUGGGCGCAAGCCUGAUCCAGCCAUACCGCGUGGGUGAAGAAGGCCUUCGGGUUGUAAAGCCCUUUUGUUGGGAAAAAAAAGCAGCAGGUUAAUACCCCGCUGUUCUGACGGUACCCAAAGAAUAAGCACCGGCUAACUUCGU
rnacentral:rRNA from 1 species